GCCAGCUGCCCGCCGUGCGGGGACCGCGGUGGGCGGCAGCCUGGGGCCGGAGGGGCUAGAGGACGAGCAAGAGCGGCCCUGGCGGAGGCUGGCGUUUGUAGAAAGAAUGUCAGCAGCUUUUUAUUAGUGAAGAGCUACUUGUUAUCACCAAUGUGCACGUGAAAUGGAAAGGGAACAGAUUCUGGAAAACAACUUCUGUUUCAACCUUGCAAGAUGCUGCAUGCAUUGUGUCAUAAGACCUAUCGAACAAAUUUAAGAGAUGAGAACAGAGGACCAAAUCAACAUAUCUAAACCUGUUAGAUAAGCACAAAGAAGUUUAAGUGACUGCUCUACUUGAUCAAAAUGGUGGACACUGAAAACCAGCUCUAUCCCCUUACUCCCUUGGAGGAGGAUGAUAUAGGCAGCCCUUUAUCUGGAGAGUUCCUACAAGAUAUGGAGAACAUUCAAGACCUCUCUCAGUCUCUAGGUGAUGAUAGCUCUGGAGCUCUAAGUUUAACAGAGUUCCAGUCACUGGGAAAUGGUCCAGGAUCUGAUGGAUCAGUUAUAACAGACACCCUUUCACCAGCAUCCAGUCCUUCAUCCAUUAAUUUUGCCACAGCUCCAGGUAGCAUAGAUGAAUCACCCAGUGGAGCAUUAAACAUUGAAUGUAGAAUUUGUGGGGAUAAAGCCUCAGGCUACCAUUACGGAGUACAUGCUUGUGAAGGUUGUAAGGGUUUUUUUAGAAGAACAAUUCGUUUAAAACUCAUCUAUGAUAAAUGUGAUCGCAACUGCAAAAUUCAGAAAAAAAAUCGUAAUAAGUGCCAAUACUGUCGUUUUCAAAAGUGCCUUUCAGUUGGAAUGUCACAUAAUGCAAUACGUUUUGGACGAAUGCCAAGGUCUGAGAAGGCCAAGUUGAAAGCAGAGAUUCUAACAGGUGAAAAUUAUGUAGAAGAUUCAGAAAUGGCAGAUCUUAAAUCACUUGCCAAAAGAAUUCAUGAUGCUUACCUGAAAAACUUCAAUAUGAACAAGGUUAAAGCCAGAAUCAUCCUUGCAGGGAAAACUAAUAACAAUCCACCAUUUGUUAUACAUGAUAUGGAUACCUUGUGUAUGGCAGAGAAGACCCUGGUGGCAAAAUUGGUAGCCAAUGGAAUUCAGAACAAGGAAGCAGAAGUUCGAAUCUUCCACUGCUGUCAGUGUACGUCUGUAGAGACUGUCACAGAACUUACUGAAUUUGCCAAAUCUAUCCCUGGCUUCUCCAAUCUUGACUUGAAUGAUCAAGUGACACUGUUAAAAUACGGAGUUUAUGAAGCCAUAUUUGCCAUGUUAGCAUCUGUGAUGAACAAGGACGGGAUGCUGGUAGCCUAUGGAAAUGGUUUUAUAACCCGGGAGUUCCUGAAAAGCCUGAGAAAGCCAUUCUGUGAUAUAAUGGAGCCAAAAUUUGAUUUUGCAAUGAAAUUCAAUGCACUGGAAUUGGAUGAUAGCGAUAUAUCCCUUUUUGUUGCUGCCAUCAUUUGCUGUGGAGAUCGUCCCGGUCUUGUAAAUGUAGGACACAUUGAAAAAAUGCAGGAGAGCAUUGUGCAUGUACUGAAACUUCACUUGCAAACUAACCAUCCUGAUGACAUCUUCCUCUUCCCGAAACUUCUCCAAAAAAUGGCUGACCUCCGACAACUUGUCACAGAGCAUGCUCAACUUGUUCAGAUAAUUAAGAAGACUGAAUCUGAUGCACAUUUACACCCUUUACUACAGGAAAUCUACAGGGAUAUGUAUUAAGGAUUUUUAGUAUUUUUUUCCACCAUAUUUAAAGACGAGCAAUACUAAUAACAGAUGGGAGCAAAACUACUUGCACAGUUAUCUGCUGUUCACUCAGUCCAGAGCAUGAAAAAUCUAAAAGCUGGGUAACUGGAGUGUUACACUGCUUUUGGUUUGGGAUCUUUUGUCUUCUUUUGAAACAGUUCUGCAGAAAAAUACUGAUCAUAGUGCUCAUGAAGUGUCUUACAAUGGUUCUUUUAUUUGGAGAAUUGAAGAUUGGUAAGGAAUACAUAUUUGUACAAUAAAUCAGAAUGCUAAGUAACAGAAACGAACAAAAUCGUAUUUCCUCUUGGCUUAGUCAUUUUAGAAUUAAUAUAACAAAUUCAGCAAAUUCUCUCCAGGUGUAUGCACAAUCAUAAAGAUUAUCCACUUUUGGCUAAUGGUAAUUACUGAGAACCAACUAACACUUUUUCUUACAGCAGUCAGUCUAGGCGUAUCAAAUGGUUGGACAUUACUGUACAUACACUUCUAAAAAAUUUGAAAGACCUUUUAUCCGCUGCUGCUUUAAUUCCAUGAAAUGCAGUACAGCUUCAUAUAGUAUUACAUUACUAUACCUUAGGAUUAGCAUGUUUAAAAGAUGGUUCUCUUAUGAAAUGAAAUAAAAUCUGAAGAGUUAUCUAAAAUACAGCAGAGAUGCUCCAUUCAGGUGUUUCUUGAAGAGUAAAUGUGAUAAAGCGAUGGAACCCUUUUUUCAAAAGUGUUUUAAGGAAAUAUGAAAAUGUCUGUGAGGAAAAAUAUAUCCUACCAUGUGUAUUUUGGAGAACUUGUAAUAGCUCAAGAUGCAGUUUUGAACUUAAAAAUACUAUUUUGAAUUAGAAAGACAUUUGGAGAGACUGAAAAAUCUGAUCCUAGCCCAGAAAAAAGAAUUCCAACUGCACAGCAUUCUAGUGCAGUGACAGCUUACUCUGAAGAAAUGAUUGUAUAGGAAAGGCACCUUCUUUCUUGGCAAGUAUCUUGGCAGUAUAGAGUUGUUUGGACCUGUUUACUUUUCUGAUGAGUACGCUGUUUCAUUUUUUCCCAGUUAUCCACUCAGAUAGAUUUCUUUCUAUUCCUUCUUAGGCCUUGUCAAUAGAAGUAUUAGAUAGAUUAUGUCACCAAAUUUUGUCCUUGUCCUUACAGCCAUAGUGGAUAAGGUGACAGUAUUACCAAGAACGGCGUUGGUAGGUGUCAAUUGUGUAAUUGACAGCACAGUUGACAGUAAGUUUAUCAUGUUCCUGAGAGCUAACUAUGAUUUUACAAUGGUACUUACUCCUGAUGCAAAAUAAGCUAUAAGGAAACUGCUUGACUUUGCCAUUUUACAGGAUCGUUUAUCAGAGAGUACUACACAAAAGUGCGAGCUGCAUGCAAGACACUGUGCUAUUUCUUUUCCUUUUUUUUAAUACGGUAACUUCACAUUAUUAUUUCUUUAUUUUACUAUUUGUUUCAUAACAAGAAAGAUCUCGGCAGCCAAUCUUAGCAUUUUCACAAUAGAUAAGCUUUCAGUGGCACAGGAGGACACUUUGUACUUGUUUUAUUGUAGCACAUUUGAAGACUUCAGAAUCUUAAACCUUCACUGCAAGAAUUAAGUAAGAUCGAUGAGGUGAGAACAUCACACGAUGAUUCUUAUUUUAGUCACAAUGUUUGUUUCUUUACAGGCCUGCUGGCAUGGCUAGACACUGGAUAAAUUACAGGUUUAAAAGCAAUUUGGUAUUUAUCCAGGCGAUGGUCAUUAGCAGAGGUUUUAGUGUCAGAUAUAUUUAGUGUAAAAUAUUGAAGCAUAGGCCUCAAAUUUGGUGACCAGCCGGGGCAGGAUAGAAACAAUAAACGUAUGUGCAUAAAACUCUCUCCCCUUCCCUGUCGCCAGUCAGCAACAGGAAGACUAGGCCUUACGUUACAGCUACUUCUAAUGCUUCAUUAAGAGAAGAUUGUUGGUCUUACCAGGAAACAGGAGAUGAGAAAUAGGUUGUCUUUUGUGUCUUACAGCAGUACGUAGUAUGCCCUCAGAAAUAACGAGGAUUUUAGCAAUGAUGCUGCUUUAGUCUUCAAGUCAGCCAUGUUUUGCUAAGGAGCUGUGGGGUUUAGGCAUAAGACACUGAGCAUUGAAAUAAUUGAUACGCAAUACUGCUUACUCAAAAAAAUUGUCAAAAUAUCAGGCAUUCUGUGAUAGCAUACUGAAACUCUAAUAGCCAACUGUUUUAAGUUUAUCUUCUAAAAAAAGUAUAAGCCAAAAUUUUUUUCCCCCAAACCUCAUAUUUAUGCAAAGGGCAAAUUUCAAAGUUGUGUUCCAUAGUUUGGGUGUGCUGAAGUUUCUCAGAAAAAUCAGACACAGUCAGUGUGGACAAAAACUCUUUUUCCUGCUCUUGUUCUCAAAGUGGCUACAACACUUUACUGAAACUUUUAAAAAACAUGGAAAAUUUAAUAACAAAGACUUAAAUUCUCAGCAAAACUAUAAAGAACUGGAAACAGCAUCAUUCAGUGGAAGGCAUAAUGUUUAGCUAUAUUAGCAGCUGCUUGUAACAGGUUCCUAUUAUUGGCAUUAGGAAAGUGCGUAAUUUGCAGUUUUCCUGUUCCAGAUCCAUUUUGUUUUGUUAUUUGAAAACAGCAAGUGUUUUUUGACUAGUUCCUUGGACCCUGAAGUUUGAUUUCUGUUUUAAAUUAAAUUGCAGGCCUUUAAUGAAAAAAAAAAAUGGAAAGAACGCAUCUCUGAAUUACAGAAAUAUGAACAAGAUGUUAACAUAGCCUAAAAUUCUGGAUAGAUUCCACUGCCCGCACUGCUGCACCGUGCACAUACCCACAGUCUCUUCAAAGAACGACACAGGGCAGACAAUUCACUUCCUGAGUGUUAAUGGGCAAAAGAAGUUCUUAAUCGCUACAUUACACUUUUAAUGAAGUACAUUAGCUACUUCAGAAGGUGACUGCAGCAGGCUUUUGACAAUUAGAUUUCAAAAUGACUCAGUUUGGGUUAGUUUUCUUUUUGUGAAGUUUGCAAUCUGAACUAGUUUGAGAUAUAUUACUGAGGAGCCUUCAGCAUCUCCAACCUUGUACAGAUCAUCUAAUAUUUUAAAAUACCCAUUCUAUGGAGGGAAUAAAGUGAUCGGUUUUUAGGAUUAAAGAAGUAUUAAAGAUUUACUGGCUUGUUAGGUAUAGUUUUGAUCUGAUUCUUAUCAGCAUAACUUAUUUUACUAUCAUAGCACCGAAGAACUCUGGUUAGCAACCAGGUACCCACAAAGAGCUUAAGACAAGAGACAACAGAUGGAUAGAGAAAAAUCCUAGGAAACAAUGCCUGGACAACUUAUGCACCAUCUUAGGCAAAGCAGUUGGAGAAGAUUACACUGUAGCUGCCUGUACUGUGUCUGAAGAGGAACAAUUUCAGCUCUGUCUCUCCUUAAAAGCAUCCAUCCCUGUUACUUAGUUGAAAAUCUGCAACUACAUUUAACAAAUGCAUUUGCAGCUGUUGUGAUAUUGCUUAAGCAUAAGGUCUUACAAAUAACGGCCCGUCCCUGAAAACCCUGAUCCUUUAUUAAGUGUUGAAAUGUAAGGUGUAGUGUAGUAGCUGGUGCUUGUUUGUAUCUCAAGUGCUUUCUUGAUAAUCAGUUGCAUAUAUUUUUUUUAAUCUAGGUUUAAUCAGCUUUAUUAUCCUUCUUUUACUAGAGAUUUAAAUUAUAUGUGGGUUUGAUCUAAGUUUAUUGAUAUUGUUAUGUAUUGUGGGAUUUUUUUAAUUUAAUGUAAUACUAUUUCUUCAUGUUUCAAUUUGUAAAAUACAAGAAUAUAAUUGCAAGCUAUAAACUUUCACUAAAUUAUAUUACAGAGGUGCUUUAAGAAAAAUAUGUAAAUUAUUUAAUUUAAAUAUUUGUUUCAUACUUUAUCUUGUGAACCCUUUUGUACAGUGAGGAAAGAUUUACUUUUAUGGGGUAAGGAUGAUGGGCCUGAAGUCAAAGACAAACUGCUAUUUAUUCCUGUUUGGUCUCUUACUGUAUCAUUUGUGAAGAAGUAUCAUAAAUUCUGCAACUUAUCAGUGUUUGGUAUUGAUAACUGUAACAAAAUUUUAUAAUAUAUUUUCACAUAGAACACAGACUUCCUUUUAUUUAAUUUUAAUAAAAGUAAGUCUCGGUGAGGAAGAGCUGUAAUCCCAAAAUUGAGUUAAUAUUUUUAACGGUUUAACUCAAGUUCACCAAUAUGGAAGAUAGGCGAUAGAACUAAGUUCAUCUUUGCUUUACAGCACGGUAGUUCGUUUUCCUUAAAAGUCUGAGAAGAGAGCUAAAAAGAUCUACAGCCUGUUAGUACUCCAUUACUGAUAUUUUCUGAGGAACUCACUUGUGGCUUACUAGAAAUAACAACGUGUAUUCAGGAUUACU